rnacentral:pre_miRNA from 1 species
AAGUCGUCGAAUUAUAUGAGCCGUGUCCGUACCGCUUUCAGGUUGGUUACAAUAAGCAGUUAAUGUUUUAUAAUGUUCCAUUUAAAAGUGGUUCUUGAAUAUCCGUCUAAUAUCAACGUCGAU